rnacentral:rRNA from 1 species
AUUGAACGCUGGCGGCAGGCCUAACACAUGCAAGUCGAACGAGCGGCGGACGGGUGAGUAAUUUCUGGGAAACUGCCUGAUGGAGGGGGAUAACUACUGGAACCGGUAGCUAAUACCGCAUACCAUCAUAUGUGCCGAGAUGGGAUUAGCUAGUGGCUGGGGUAAUGGCUCACCAAGGCGACGAUCCCUAGCUGGUCUGAGAGGAUGACCGGCCACACUGGAACUGAGACACGGCCCAGACUCCUACGGGAGGCAGCAGUGGGGAAUAGUGCGCAAUGGGCGAAAGCCUGAUCGAGCCAUGCCGCGUGAGUGAAGAAGGCCUUCGGGUUGUAAAGCACUUUUGGCGAGGAGGCGGUACUCGCAGAAGAAGCACCGGCUAACUCCGUGCCAGCAGCCGCGGUAAUUC